rnacentral:rRNA from 1 species
UGACGAACGGGUGAGUAACGCGUGAGGAACCUGCCUCAAAGAGGGGGACAACAGUUGGAAACGACUGCUAAUACCGCAUAAGCCCACGGGUCGGCAUCGAUCUGAGGGAAAAGGAGUGAUCCGCUUUGAGAUGGCCUCGCGUCCGAUUAGUUAGUUGGUGAGGUAACGGCCCACCAAGGCGACGAUCGGUAGCCGGGCUGAGAGGUUGAACGGCCACAUUGGGACUGAGACACGGCCCAG